AGCGGAAAUGAUAACAACGGUGCAGGGCAGACAGUUUUUAAAAUAUAAAAAUUAUUUUUAUGGUAAGACUCCUUACCUGAAGAGAAGGUGGCGGUGCGUGAACACAAGACGUUGUUACGCGUCUAUGUCGGUUUCGGAAGACCUAACUGUUAUCAAAGAGCCAUCGCCUCACAAUCAUACUACCAAACAGUUUAUUAUAUUGCCUGAUGGUAGAUACCAAUUCAUUACGCAAGUUACAAAUUAAUUUUAUUUGUUAUACAACAAUAUCCUAGCUUUAGUUUUGUAGUACCAACACAGAAUGUGAAAGCAAUAACAAUGCUGGAGGGCAGGCGGUUGCUGUUGUAUAAAGGAUAUCUCUACAGUAAGACAGCAAAUUUGAAAACACGCUGGCGGUGCAUAAAUACGAAUAAUUGUUACGCGGGUAUUUGUGUUAAAGAAGAGGACGAAACAAUUCUUAUCAAGGAGUCACCGACGCCCCACAACCAUUCGCCCCGAAAGAUUCGAAGAAUGUCAAAUGGCAGGUACACGUUCGCGAAAAGAAGCUCCAGUCCUGUCUCGAUUUAUACAAGAUAUAUUACACUAAUGCAUAGAUGAAUUGUGUUAGACUAAUUUUUUUUUUUUAGUAAUAUGUCUACGAGUACAUAAACCGUAAGCUUAGAUUAUACAGAUAGAGUGUGACAAAUGAAAAACAAACGGACCCAUGUUUAAAGUGGACACAGAUGUCCUCUGAUAUGGAUUUUGAAGGCAACCAUAUAUUUUAUACCAGAGGGAGACUUUGUACAAAAGCCGUUUGCUUGGGUACCUCUGUUCUAUUCGUGUUUCAACCGUGAAUCAGUUGUGUUUGCAUGGCUGUGUUUCAGUUUGAAGGGUGGAAUAUGGAAUUUACAGGGUCCAGAGGAAUAAUACACCUGAGUUUUUAGGAAUGGCAACGCAUGUGGCGUAUCGUGGGCGAAACAGUAUACUCUGUUAUGUCCAUGAUGAGGUGGGCCGUCAGCUUGUUUGCUAUUCUAAGUUGUAUAAAAAAAAGCAAUCUGUCGGUAAAAAUGGUGGCCAUUUUGAUUAACACUGAUAUCGGAACUAUAUUUGAAGUGUAUAGGGAUCAUCUGUUUCGAUUUUGAAUGCAUUCGGUCAAAUAUCAAAGAAAAUAAAAAUGGUGGCCAUUUUUGUUAAUUAUGACACCGGAUCUAUAUUUGAAAUGUAUAGGUAUCAUCUCAUAUCGAUUUUGAAUGCAAGCGAUCAAAUAAUAAAUAACGGCGAAACGGCGGCCAUUUUUAUUAAUUAUGUCACCGGUAUCGUAUUUAACACUAAAUCUACCAAACGCGGUGAAAUACCAUUUAUGAAAUUUAAUUUAAAAAUUUUCAUGUUAAUAUAAUAUAAAAUAAAUUUUCACUUACUAUACUUACUAAAGGUUUUAAGCAUAAAAACAAAUAUUUUUAUGCUUAAAACCUUUUUACCGGUUAUAAGUGAUUCCUUUAUUAUGCUUACAUGCUUUUUAACGGUUAUAAGUGAUUCCUUUAUUAGUUAUAUAUUUGUCUUAUAAUUUUGUACAUCAUAUCAAUCAUGUACCUUUUUAAUGGGCAAGAAUUUCUUUAUUAAAACAUUAAAUUUAGAUACGUCAAGUGUAUACUAAUAAAAAAACGAGCAUACUAAUUUGACAAUUAGCUGAAAGAAAAAAUUAUAAAGUUGAUCUGUUUUUAAGAUUCGAGGCUCUAUCUAUACAAUCUAACGGGCUUAGAACGCUAAUGUUAAGGAAAUGCUUGAUAAAUGCUGUGUAUAGUAUAGCGCUCAUUUAUUUUCUAGAAUUUGUGAUUAAUAAAUCAUUAUAUUCUUA
rnacentral:misc_RNA from 1 species